UUGGUGGCUCAGUGGUAGAAUGCUCGCCUGCCACGCGGGCGGCCCGGGUUCUACCACUAAGCCACCGAUGCUUUUAAA